AAGACUAUAGACCUGCGGAGUACCUGCGGAAGGAUCAUCAUUGAACAAAGCUUUUUCAAGCCUGGGGGGGGGGGAGUUUACUCUGCUCUUCCGGCUUGUAAAAACAAACAACUUUGAUACCCAAAAAGAGUCUAUUCUCAUUCCUGCUGGGAAAGAGAGGGGGAAACCCCAGACAAAUACAAGUAGUUGCCUGAUAAAAAAGAGUUUGGAUUGGAAAGAAACAUGAAACAACUUUUAACA
rnacentral:misc_RNA from 1 species